rnacentral:rRNA from 1 species
UACAGAGGGUGCGAGCGUUAAUCGGAAUUACUGGGCGUAAAGCGCGCGUAGGCGGCUUUGCAAGUCGGGUGUGAAAUCCCCAGGCUUAACCUGGGAACUGCAUUCGAGACUGCAUUGCUAGAGUAUGGGAGAGGGAAGUGGAAUUUCCGGUGUAGCGGUGAAAUGCGUAGAUAUCGGAAGGAACAUCAGUGGCGAAAGCGGCUUCCUGGACCAGUACCGACGCUCAGGCACGAAAGCGUGGGGAGCAAACAGG